UUUCCUUUUCCCUUAAAGGAGUUCUGUCAUGUGAUUUAGGUCCCCAAUGAGACAUUGCUUAGACCUGAUAGAAAUCAUUCAUACUAUGUUCUCCAGAAUCCAAAUAGUCAGACAAGGGUAAGUUAAAUCCAUCACGCUGCUGAAAAGACAUGAAAUGCAACAGCUACCACUGCAUCCUGUAAUUCUUUGGUUCUCCAGGAUGAGAGGCUCUUUUCCAGACAGCACAGCAGGGAGGUAAGUUAAUUAGCAAGUAUUCUUCCAAGAAACAGGCUGACGUCAUUAAGGACACUUGUGAUGAACUCAGAGUAAAGUAAAGCAAUAGCCAUCCUGGUGCUUUGAGCUAGAAGGGAAAAGAAGAGUGAAACCAUAUUAAAAUGGCUAUUAAGACUGAAAUCAAAGCUCUCAAGAGUGGCAGCAGAGAUCUGCUCUUGGUUUUGAGUCACACCAGCUCUGACCCUGUUCCCCCAGGAUUAGGAACGCCCUUUAUAGGAAUGCCCCAAAGAUUUGGGUCUUGAGACUCAGAGGGCUGGAAGGUCUUCCUGCAUCCAGUAAGCAGCACAUUAGAAGUCAUGCCAUGGUCUCUAACAAAGCCCGUUUCUCCUCCACUCUAUACGGCAGCAUAGGCUGAAAGCAGAUGGCCUUGGCUCUGCCGUGACUCCGACACAGGGUGUUUUACAACACCUGGCAACACCAGUGCAUCAUUGCAUUUAUUAUUUUGAUCACCAAUUUAUUAUUUCUGAUCAUUUUCUGUGUUGCUGAGGAGUGUGGAGGCUCCUAUGGAAACUGGGGAUGGAGCUCACUCCCAGUAAGCAAUGAUGGGAGAUAAAUGCAUAGAGUAUUAGAUUAAAAUAAUGGUGAAGGCAAAGUAUAGAAUUUUUAAAUUACUACAUUUACUAUUGCAUGUAAAAGGAAUCCGUGGGUGCCGAAACCAUGCUCUUAGGUGCUGUUUCAAAUUAACGCUUGGAGUAACCAUGUAUUCCUGGUGUACCAGUUACUUAAACUUAAGUCUGCCUGAAUCUUGUAAUAAGACUUUGUGUUGCUGAGUGUUAGGUCAGCAUGGGAUUCCAAAGCCAAGCAGAAUUACUUGACAGAAUGGCCCUUGCAUAGAUUCAUAUCCUGGUUUUGAGCUCUUCUCUGAUUCACACAUUAAACACAAAUAGUUGCAUCCUGUCUUGCCUACUGUAAUCACACAGAAACAUGGGUUUCAAUGCCAGCGGACAUAUAUUUAAAGCUUGCAUUGGAAAUUUAUUUCUGCACUUCACCUGGGAAACAAAAAAAGCCAUAAAGAGAAAUAAAGACCUUUAUAACAUUUGAUGAAGAUUCACAGAAGCCACAAAGGAACAAGUACUGCACAAAAGGCAAGUUUUGCAAUUUGCCUUUUUCAUUUCCACCCAUGAAUUAUUUUGCUUCAGCUAUAGAGGCAAUGCAAGUUCUCGGCAUGCAAACAAGCUCUGAUGCAAGUCUUCACGGCCAGGAGCUGCUCCUAAAUUCAAUGGAAACCUUCCUGGGCUGGGCUGCUCUGCCAGGGAGAAUUGAGCAGCACUACCAGGGCCUGAAGAGAGUUGAUAGAGAUGCCUGUAUGUUCACGGAUGUCAUAGAUAUCACUCUCCAAGUGAUUCUUUUGUACUAUAUAUUCACCUGUGACUUUCUGCAGGUAAAUAACUUGCGUGCCAGAUGCCUUAGGAUGGCAAUGGUUGGGAAGUACAGCAUGCUGUGAAACAUCAGGCUUUAGAAAAUUACAAUUCCAAGGGGAGAAAAUAAUGACAGGAAGGUCUUUCUGGUCCUGAGCGGUCCCUCCUCUAAUUUGUUAGCUAACUCCUGCUAGUUUCGUCCCAUUUGUGCUGAUAUAUGGCUUGAUCCUCCAAAACUUUACUCUCGUGAGUGAUCCCAUUAAGAUAAAUGAGACCUCUCUCGUGUGACCGAGUGAGCAGGUAUCUGAAUGAAAUGAUCAGCCAAAUCAAUUGGUUUUUCCUUGUCUAUCUAGUAAAAGUCCCUCCAUUAUAAGUGUACAAGCAUGCAAAAAAUGGGAGCAUUACUGGGUAAUAAUGUGUAAAAUGGCCAGAUCCAGUUGCUUUUUGACGGUUCAGCUCUGGCAUUUUCCUAGUUCUGUCUUUGCUCUGCCUGAUUCAAAUCCUCCCCUCAUGUUUAUUAUUAGUUAACUAUUUCUUAAUGGACCCCUUCAUUUAUGAAUAAGACUCAACAGCAAUUACAGCCCAGUGGAGACCAGUACACUACCCAUCUGCUCCGUCCCUCACUCUUGGCGUUGGCAUUCUGCACAGGUUCCAGCCCCUCUCAUCGUAACAAGCCGGGAUCAAUUUUCCAGUGGCAGCUUGGAAAUAAUAGUACAAAAUGUAUAUUAAUACAGAAAUAUAUUGUGAAACUGUCCUUAAACAAACAAAUGAGCCACUUUAAAAUAUUACCACUAUAAAUGACCAUGACAGUAGCACAGCACAUAUAAUAAAAAAUAACUACUGAAGAGAAGCUGCUGAAUUACUACAGUAAUAAACCAGAUGUGAUUAUUAUCAUUUAACACAGUCAUUGAAUACCAUGAAUCCCUGAAGCCAUUAAAAUAUUUAUGAUUAAACAUUUGCUAUUUCUUAUAACAGAACAUAUAGCCUAGUACUAAAGACUGUUAAAGUGUUAUUUUGGCUAAUACAUGCUAGUGCCAUGAAAAGGGUCAGCUACUGCUGCAUAAGCUUUCUGGAGAGAUCACCUAACAGCUGUCAUUUGUGUUGGUUUUUUUAUUGUAUAU
ensembl:lncRNA